rnacentral:tRNA from 1 species
GAGAGAUGGCUCAGUGGUUAAGAGCACUAGCUGCUCAUCCAGAGGACCUGGGUUCAAGUCCCAGCACUCA